rnacentral:rRNA from 1 species
CACGGGGGGAGCAAGCGUUGUUCGGAAUCACUGGGCGUAAAGGGCGUGUAGGCGGUUCGAUAAGUGGAAUGUGAAAUGCCCCCGGCUCACCCGGGGACCGGCAUCCCAAACUGUCGAGCUUGAGUAUGGGAGAGGAUGUGGGAAUUCCUGGUGUAGCGGUGAAAUGCGUAGAUAUCAGGAGGAACACCGGUGGCGAAGGCGCACAUCUGGCCCAAUACUGACGCUGAGGCGCGAAAAGCUAGGGGAGCAAACGGG